UUUGUGUUCUGUUUUCUGCCA
rnacentral:piRNA from 1 species